GAGGCCCCGGGGGGAGCCCGGCUCCCGGGCCCCGAGACCUGCUGAGAGAGUGACCUACGCGGGGUCCGGGGAGUCAUGUAGGGUGGCGCCUGCGGGGCGGACCUCGGUUGGGCGGCGGGAGCUCGUGUUAGUGGUGGAGGCCACGGACUGCUAGCCUCUUGGGGCCGGGACAGGGUGUGGGGGCCCCUCCCGCGGACAGCAUCAGCUCCGCGCCUUGGCAGACGGCUCACUCGGGCUCGGCGCGCGCCCUGCGAGGUUGCGCUGUGUUCUCAUUUCACUAGUUUGGAGGCUUAGGCAGAGAGGCGAAGACAUUAGUCCAAGGUCACGCAGCUGGUAAGUGGGAGCGCCCAGCAUGGGACCCAGCACCGGCCCGCUGCAGAGCCUGCGUUCCACCCACCCCGCCGCCGCCUCCUGCGGGAGGGGGAGGUGGUCGGCAGGGCUCGUCGCCGGGACCACCGGGGCUCCAGGCUGGGUGCGACCACUAGCCCUUUGAAUGACCUCGGGCUUAACCUCUCCGCCGCUCUGGGCCUUGUUUCUCCACCUGUGAAAUGAGGGUCUCCACCACCCAGCUCCAUGCUUCGAAUCCUGCUCUCUGCCCAGACUUCCCCUGCUCGGCUGUCUGGUUUGCUGCUCAUCCCGCCAGUACAGCCCUGUUGUUUGGGACCCAGCAAGUCCGGGGACCGGCCUUUUGGAG
rnacentral:lncRNA from 1 species